AUAAGGGCAGAGACCUCAUGAAUGAGAUUAGCACCCUCAUAAAAGAGGCCAAAAGAAGUUUGUUUGCCCCUUCCUCCGUGUGAGGACCCACCUAGAAGUCACCAUCUAUGAAGCAGAAAGCAGGCCCUCAGCAGACAUGAAAUCUGGUGCUUUGAUUUGGACUUCCCAGCCUCUAGAACUUGGUGCAUGUCACCUUCCUGCAAGGCAACUAGUUUGCAGAUAUGGCCAGAGGGGAAAUUACUGGACAACAAAAUGAAAAGGGGGCAUAAGUCAGCCAGCUCUCUCAAUCCUAGGAAAGGAAACUUCCCUCCUGCUUAUGAAAGAGGACGAUUGUGCUCAGUACCACUUAUCCAGUGCCAACAAUCUGAGGCCAAGAAACUUGAAAAAGUGAUAGAAGCAGGGUACCUUUUGCAUCAUCAAACACAGCUCAGCUCUCCUUGCAGCCAGGAGUGGCCAUAUGAUGGAUUCUGACCAACGAGAUGCAAGCUGAAGUUGCUAACUGGGACUCCUAAAAACACUUUUAAAAAGUGAUGGACUCAUGAUCUCUUCACCCUUCUUCUGCCUGUCUUGAAUUGUCCAUCCUCAGACUUCGUGAUACACAAAAAAUUUAUUUUCGGCUAGGCCAUGUUAAUUUGGCUUUCCGCUACUUGCAGCUGACUGUAUUGAUUAUCUAAAACUGCUUUAUAAAGUUUUGUGACUAGGGGGUGGGAGCAAUGAUCACUAAUAUUCAUUAAGUGAAAGGAUAAAUGAUUGAAUUGUGUAUCUUAAUUGUGGUAUAUUCUGUACAACAUUUUUACAAUAAAUUAAUGUUGAAUGAGUUUAUUUCUAUUUGAUACUAAACACUAGCACAUCUGAAAUAGUUGUCAGUUUUUCCCCUUGCUAAAAGUACAAAGAUUAAAAAAUAAGAUAAGCCAUCUGGGCCAUGUGCACUGAAAGAAUGGCUAUAGCUCUUGCCCUGAUUAGAGGGUUUCACAAACUAGCAUUGAACUUACUGGGGGUUCAACAGAGAAGAAAAGGAG